rnacentral:rRNA from 1 species
ACGAGUGGCGAACAGGUGAGUAACACGUGGGUGAUCUGCCCUGCACUUCGGGAUAAGCCUGGGAAACUGGGUCUAAUACCGCAUAAGCCCACAGUACCGCAUGGUACAGGGGGAAAAACUUCGGUGGUGGAGGACGGAUUCGCGUUCCAUUAGCUAGUAAGUAGGGUAAUGGCCUACCUAGGCAACGAUGGAUAGCCGAGCUGAGAGGCUGAUCGGCCACACUGGGACUGAGAUACGGCCCAGACUCC